UCCCGAGUAGCUCAGUUGGUAGAGCAGACGACUGUUAAUCGUCGGGUCACAGGUUCGAGUCCUGUCUCGGGAGC
rnacentral:tRNA from 1 species